CACGUAGGGUGCGAGCGUUGUCCGGAAUUAUUGGGCGUAAAGAGCUCGUAGGCGGUGUGUCGCGUCGGCCGUGAAAACCUGCAGCUUAACUGUGGGCUUGCGGUCGAUACGGGCAUCACUGGAGUUCGGCAGGGGGAGACUGGAAUUCCUGGUGUAGCGGUGAAAUGCGCAGAUAUCAGGAGGAACACCAAUGGCGAAGGCAGAUCUCUGGGCCGUAACUGACGCUGAGGAGCGAAAGCAUGGGGAGCGAACAGG
rnacentral:rRNA from 1 species